GACGAACGCUGGCGGCGUGCUUAACACAUGCAAGUCGAACGGAAAGGUCCUGCUUUUGUGGGGUGCUCGAGUGGCGAAAGGGUGAGUAACACGUGAGUACCCUGCCCUUGACUUUGGGAUAACUUCAGGAAACUGGGGCUAAUACCGGAUAGGAGCUCCUGCUGCAUGGUGGGGGUUGGAAAGUUUCGGCGGUUGGGGAUGGGCUCGCGGCUUAUCAGCUUGUUGGUGGGGUAGUGGCUUAACAAGUCUUUGACGGUUAGCUGAUGUGAGAGGAUGACCAGCCAGACGGGGAGUGAGAGACGGGCCAGAAUCCUACGGGAGGAAGCAGUAAGGAAUAGUGGUGAAUGGACGCAAGUCUGAAACAGCCAUGCCGCGUGAAGGAGUAAGGUCCUCGGGAUUGUAAACUUCUUUUAUAUGGGACGAAAAAAGGUCUUUCUAGACCCCUUGACGGUACCAUAUGAAUAAGCACCGGCUAACUCCGUG
rnacentral:rRNA from 1 species